rnacentral:tRNA from 1 species
GGGGGCUUCGUUCAGUGGUAGGACUUCGGUCUCCAAAACCGAGGACGAAGGUUCGAUCCCUUCAGCCCCCGCAA